rnacentral:lncRNA from 7 species
CCUUGCUUUAAGGGAAACUUACCUUUCCUGCUCUUCACUGACUUCUUGAUUCUCGUGGCUUUGGCUGCUAUUUUGCCUUGCUUUGCUUUGCUGUGCUAUGCAUUGCUUUCCCUGUAUUUCUUGCCAUCCACUCCUUCCUUCGAGUUAUUCUUUACUUUUUGACUUGGCUUUUUUCUUCUUUUCUCUUUACCUUUCUUCUCUUGUCAUUAUCGUUUUUCCUUUCGUUUUUUUCUUUCAUCUAUUGUUUUUUCUUUUCUUUUUUCUUUUUUCUUUUUUCAUAUUUUUCUGUCCUCUUUUUAUUUCUUUCUCUUUUUUCUUUUUUCUUUAUCUUUUUUCUUUUUUUAGCUUUUCUCUUUUUUUCUCUUUUUUGUUCAUUUUUUUUCUUUUCUCUUUUUUCUCUUUUUUGUUCAUUUCCUUUUUUCUUUUCUCUAUUUUAUCUUUUUCGUUCAUUUUUUCUUUUUUUCUUUUCAUUUUUUCUCUUUUUCUUAUUUUUCUUUUUAUUUUUCUCUUAUUUCAUAUUUUUUGUUCUUAUUUUUUCUUUUCUUUUUUCAUCAUUGGUUUGCCUUCAGCCCUCCCCUCAGCCCUUCCCUCCGCUCUGCUCUUCACCCAUCCCCUCCCCUCCCCUUCCCAUCCCUCUUUCUCCCUUACCCUCCCCUUUCCCCUUGCCUUUGCUUCCCAUUACCUUGCCUGCCCUUCACUUACCUUCUCCUCACUUCCUGCUUCUUGAUGCUAUGGGCUUUUGCUGCUACUCACGCCAAACCUCAGCACUUGCCUACUCUGCUUGCUGCUCCGCCAAGUUGCUCUCUACUCUGCUCACAGCUUCACGCCUACUGCCUGCCCUUCUCUGUCCCCUUCUCGUGCCCUUCAGGCUUUUCCUCCCCUUGCUGAGCAAGGCCAUGCCCGGUAGCUACCCUUGAAUCCUCCGCCCUUUGCCCUCCU